rnacentral:rRNA from 1 species
UACGAAGGGGGCUAGCGUUGCUCGGAAUCACUGGGCGUAAAGGGUGCGUAGGCGGGUCUUUAAGUCAGGGGUGAAAUCCUGGAGCUCAACUCCAGAACUGCCUUUGAUACUGAGGAUCUUGAGUACGGGAGAGGUGAGUGGAACUGCGAGUGUAGAGGUGAAAUUCGUAGAUAUUCGCAAGAACACCAGUGGCGAAGGCGGCUCACUGGCCCGUAACUGACGCUGAGGCACGAAAGCGAGGGGAGCAAACAGG